rnacentral:piRNA from 1 species
UGAACCAAUGAGUUUAUUGGGUUACUUAG